AUUUUAUAUGGAGGAGGAACAUUCUGGUUUGUACAGAGUACAGACCAAAUUUACCAGCUCAAAAUCAAGACUUUUAUAAGGACAAUGAGAAAUUGGUCGGAGUUUCUGUGGUUGUCAUCGAGGAUUCCGUGCCCCAGGUGAUCGGUCUUGGACAAAAACAGGAGGAAAAGGCUGACCAAGGGCCGGAAGAAAGAGGAGGGGAAAGUAGAAGAAGUUCCAUUUUUAUUUUAUUUUUUUAUUUUUUAUUUAAGUUUUUUUUGUUUAAUAUGGUAAAUAGAAAGUUAUCAUUUUGUCAUUUUAAAAUUGAUUAAAAAGUG
rnacentral:lncRNA from 1 species